GAACAUUUCGACUGGAAAAUAGGAUUGAGGGUCAGGGACGACAAGGGGGAAGACCUCCUAUGUUCACAGAACAGCAAGAGAGGGAGAUAGUAAAUCUGGUUUUGGCCAACAAUGCUAUAACACUCAAGCAGCUCCAAGCUAACAUUGUCAAUGACCACGCCAUUUUCAACGAUAUCCAUCAGGUCUCAACAUCAACACUGGCACGCAUCCUAAAAAAAAAACCUAUUCAAAUGAAGCAAAUUUAUCGAGUGCCUUUCGAGCGCAAUUCCGAAAGAGUGAAACGAGCGCGGCAUGAUUAUGCAGAGAGAGUUUUACAAAUGGAUGGAGAGGAGAUCCAGCAUGAGUUCAUUUAUGUAGAUGAGGCUGGGUUCA